rnacentral:rRNA from 1 species
AGCGAACGCUGGCGGCAGGCCUAACACAUGCAAGUCGAACGAAGUCUUCGGACUUAGUGGCGGACGGGUGAGUAACACGUGGGAACGCGCCUUUAGGUUCGGAAUAACUCAGGGAAACUUGUGCUAAUACCGAAUGUGCCCCUCGGGGGAAAGAUUUAUCGCCUUUAGAGCGGCCCGCGUCUGAUUAGCUAGUUGGUGAGGUAAAGGCUCACCAAGGCGACGAUCAGUAGCUGGUCUGAGAGGAUGAUCAGCCACAUGGGACUGAGACACGGCCCAAACUCCUACGGGAGGCAGCAGUGGGGAAUCUUGCGCAAUGGGCGAAAGCCUGACGCAGCCAUGCCGCGUGAAUGAUGAAGGUCUUAGGAUUGUAAAAUUCUUUCACCGGGGACGAUAAUGACGGUACCCGGAGAAGAAGCCCCGGCUAACUUCGUGCCAGCCGCCGCCGUAAAAC